rnacentral:rRNA from 1 species
UCCGUAGGUGAACCUGCGGAAGGAUCAUUACCGAGUUGAUUCGAGCUCCGGCUCGACUCUCCCACCCUUUGUGUACCUACCUCUGUUGCUUUGGCGGGCCCGCGGUUCGGCCUCGUGCCGUCCAGCACCACCCGCCAGAGGACCACAAAACUCCAGUCAGUGAACGUCUCAGUCUGAAAAACAAGUUAAUAAACUAAAACUUUCAACAACGGAUCUCUUGGUUCUGGCAUCGAUGAAGAACGCAGCGAAAUGCGAUAAGUAAUGUGAAUUGCAGAAUUCAGUGAAUCAUCGAAUCUUUGAACGCACAUUGCGCCCCUUGGUAUUCCGGGGGGCAUGCCUGUUCGAGCGUCAUUUCAACCCUCAAGCUCUGCUUGGUAUUGGGCUCCGUCCUCUGGGACGCGCCUCAAAGACCUCGGCGGUGGCGUCUUGCCUCAAGCGUAGUAGAAAACACCUCGCUUUGGAGCGCACGGCGUCGCCCGCCGGACGAACCUUUGAAUUUUUCUCAAGGUUGACCUCGGAUCAGGUAGGGAUACCCGCUGAACUUAAGCAUAUCAAUAAGCGGAGGA